ACAGUGUCAAGAGAAGACCUCAAUGGGCUUGUUAUAAAUCACCUGAAAAAGCCUGGGAUCACUGGCACUAUCUGAAAAUAUAUUUUAUUGUAAUGGAAUGAUACCAUUUGAGACUUGGACACGACACACUCCAGCCGUUUUUUUCAGUACAUACAGAAAAUAGAUGAUCAAGUAGCUCAGAUCAUAAUGACAAUAGAGUAGCAACUGCUUUCAUUCCCAUUUCUUUGUAAUUAAUUACGGAUUUUGUUUUCAAAGCUGUCCUCUGCAGUGAGCUUCCCCAUGCAGGACGGAACAUGACACAUAGAGUGUGUGUGUGUGUGUGUGUGAUUAACUGGACCUCCUGUGUCUGGGUAGAGACAGAGCAACAGACAGGCCUCGUAACUCAGGUGUUCCCAUUCCCCACCCUGUCACUGGCUGCAAAUGCCAAGACCUGUAAAUCCAAUGGAGAUUUAAAGGCAGCGAACCGGGAGAGCAGAUGAUGAGACAUACUUUCUGAAUAUCCUGAAUUACACAAGGUUCAAGGAUUCGAGACUGCUUUUAUUGCAAAACACGACUGGUACGGAGGUGCCAAUCGGUGAAAGGUGAGGAAUAUGAUCUUAUCAAUCAAGCUCAUAAUUGCGUUUGUUGCUGAUUAUGAAUAAAUAAAUACAGGGGUAAACAGAUGAACCAGUAUUUCAUUCUCAUUGCAGAACUGUCUCUCAGAGUGGUCCAGUCUGAUGUGUUUCUUCUCUCCUGUGUUCCACUUCAGCAGGCCGCUACAUGAGGAACAUGUUUAAUAAGUAGCAGACCGUGUUGUUGUGACCUGGGUCUAUAUUUAGAGGUUCCUGUAUCUGCCCAGGGCCUGGGGCUCAUCUAGUCAGCCUGGCCCACAGAGAUCUAACCCUGGGUUUACCAUGCAAGGCAGCCCAGUGUGGGGCAUGCAGGGAAAGAUAAUGUCAAACACAUGUAGAGGGAAAAUGCUUUACACUGAAGGAGAGCCAAAAUGUUUAAUCUUUUAAGUGAUAAUUAUUCUACCCUAACUCUGCCCUUCUCUAUGUGGGUCUUUGUUGUAAUAUAGUAUAUGUCAGUUCACAAGACAAUCAUGAAAUUAAAGGACAGUGUAAU
rnacentral:lncRNA from 13 species